rnacentral:misc_RNA from 1 species
AACGCACCUUGCGCUCCUUGGUAUUCCGAGGAGCAUGCCUGUUUGAGUGUCAUUAAUAUAUAUAUCAAACCCUCUCUUGUCGAGUGGUUUGGAUGUGGGGGUUUGCUGGCCUCUUGAAGGGUUCAGCUCCUCUGAAAUGCAUUAGCAGAACAACAACCUGUUCAUUGGUGUGAUAACUAUCUACGCUAUUGAAUGUGAGGGUAAAAGUUCAGCUUUCUAACCGUCCAUGGACAAUUUAUCAUUAAUGUGACCUCAAAUCAGGUAGGACUACCCGCUGAACUUAA